AAACAGAGAAGUCAACCAGAGAAACACACGUUGUGGUAUAUUACCUGGUA
rnacentral:ribozyme from 20 species